rnacentral:rRNA from 1 species
GGCGGCGUGCUUACACAUGCAAGUCGAGCGGAAAGGCCCUUCGGGGUACUCGAGCGGCGAACGGGUGAGUAACACGUGAGUAACCUGCCCCUGACUCUGGGAUAAGCCUGGGAAACUGGGUCUAAUACCGGAUAUGACACCCUUCCGCAUGGUGUGGGUGUGGAAAGUUUUUUCGGUCGGGGAUGGGCUCGCGGCCUAUCAGCUUGUUGGUGGGGUGAUGGCCUACCAAGGCGACGACGGGUAGCCGGCCUGAGAGGGCGACCGGCCACACUGGGACUGAGACACGGCCCAGACUCCUACGGGAGGCAGCAGUGGGGAAUAUUGCGCAAUGGGCGGAAGCCUGACGCAGCGACGCCGCGUGGGGGAUGACGGCCUUCGGGUUGUAAACCUCUUUCAGCAGGGACGAAGUUGACGUGUACCUGUAGAAGAAGCGCCGGCUAACUACGUGCCAGCAGCCGCGGUAAUACGUAGGGCGCGAGCGUUGUCCGGAAUUAUUGGGCGUAAAGAGCUCGUAGGUGGCUUGUCGCGUCUGCCGUGAAAGCCCGUGGCUUAACUACGGGUCUGCGGUGGAUACGGGCAGGCUAGAGGCUGGUAGGGGCAAGCGGAAUUCCUGGUGUAGCGGUGAAAUGCGCAGAUAUCAGGAGGAACACCGGUGGCGAAGGCGGCUUGCUGGGCCAGUUCUGACGCUGAGGAGCGAACG